AUUGAUUGUCCUAUUAUUGGGCAAGGGGGAUGUAUAAAUUUGGCUGGGGAGCAUUUUGUUGUCACGGGUGCUACGCCCCUGUCUGCGUCAUCACGAGUCGCCAGUCAGAGCUGUCUGUUUGGGUAAACCUUGCGGCUGGUGUUGGGUUGACGUGUUUCCUCGCGGCAGUGUAUAGUCCGAGGUGAGCCGAAGAGAGAGAGCGGCGUUAAUAAUACCGACAGUGCCUGCCUUUACACAUUGUACUAUGGUGUGGUAGAGCUAUUAAAUCGAGUGAGCCUACGGGUGCACAGAAGUGCUGUGUACGCGAUUUCUGGGAAGACCCCACACACGAUCUACGGAACGAGCCUGCAG